rnacentral:rRNA from 1 species
UACGUAGGGCGCAAGCGUUGUCCGGAAUUAUUGGGCGUAAAGAGCUCGUAGGCGGUUUGUCGCGUCUGCUGUGAAAUCCCGAGGCUCAACCUCGGGCUUGCAGUGGGUACGGGCAGACUAGAGUGCGGUAGGGGAGACUGGAAUUCCUGGUGUAGCGGUGAAAUGCGCAGAUAUCAGGAGGAACACCGAUGGCGAAGGCAGGUCUCUGGGCAUUAACUGACGCUGAGGAGCGAAAGCAUGGGGAGCGAACAGG